AACAACUUCUGUCAACUCCUAGAAGCUGACACGAGGCACUGAGAGGGGUCCAAGCCAGAAGUCCAGAUUCCAAACAUCCCUGAACUUUGGUGAAGUUCAAAUCAGAGCACACAUCUUUAGUGAGAAGAGGAAAGCUGUAACAUGAUCCAAGCCCUGGGCAAUAGAGGCUUCUCCCACCAGGACAGCAGCAUGAGGGCAGGCACAGCAGUUCAGCAGCAUGGCUUGGAUUAAACCCUUGCUGAAUGGUGGAGAGAGAAAGGGAGAAAGACAAGACUAUCUGGUUUGGGAUACUGCAGCCAAGAAGCCAACAGAAAGGUUUACUGAAGAAGUGUUUACAUGCAGAAAAGAGGUAAAAAAACCCCACCAGAAUAAAGUUCAAGCGGAUGCCAACAAACUGUGUUUGGUACGGUACAGCCUGUUGCUCCCAGCUGAAUUCAGAGCUGCUGCUGAUGGGAAGUUCCUCUCCUUUUAAGGCUGGCACAAAGGGAUGGUAUUUUGUCACUGAAUAUGAGGUUGCAGAGUCUUCAUCCUUGGAGACAGUCAAAAGUUGUAUGGACAUGGUCCUAGAUCACCUGCCCUUGCUGACCCUGCUUGGGCAGGGCACUCAGACCAGAUGAUCUGCAGAGAUCCCUUUCAACCUCAAUGAUUCCAUCAUUCUGUGGUCCUCAUAAACAAGAAGGAUUUGUGAUGUUGGAAGAAUGUGCUACUAAUCACUUACAACUAAAUCUUGUGAAUGUGAAGUACAAUAAAAAGGAAGCUAAGUAUUUUUAACAAGGAGAAAAAAUCCUCAAAGAGAUAAUUGGGAGAGUUUAAAUAAUAUUUACUUACUAAAUUUUUAUUUACUAGGAAAUGUCUUCCAGCUGAAUGCCUGAAUGUAUUUUAAAUGUUGUAAGACUGAAGAAAAUAUUCUCUUGCCUGAGUUCUUUAAGUCUUUAUUUGAUGAUGAUGAGGAGCAGACAAAACAAAAGGUGGUAGCUUACAUCUUUAAACAUUGUAUUUAAUUGAUGGUUCAUCAUGGCAUACAUGAUCUCACAUGUAGCUGGUAACAAAACUGCCAUUGCCCACCCCUACUCUGUGUGUUUUACAAGGAAGAACUCAACAACACAAGAAUGUAAACUUAUAUUUAGAAAGUUUCUAUCUCAGUUUCUAUCAUCAGUUGGGCCUUUCCUUUUCCCUGGCUUGUGAAUCUGUCUAAGAUCCCAAAUCACAGCAUUUGUUUUUCAGUCAAUACUAUUUUUUGUGCUUUCUCAGGAAUGCUCAUUCAUUCUAGGCUCCUCUAGCUCUGUUUCAUUCUUUGUACUGGCAAAGAGUGUAACACAGGGACAAGCAGCUUGACUUGAAAUGCAUGGUCAUUUUUAGUAAAUUUACUGUGCACUGUGUAUAUAUUCCAUCCCUCUGCUUAUUCCUUGCUCAUCUCCUGGACAGGAGGAACUCUCCAACAGCCCCAAAGUGACUCCCCAUAGUGUGCAUGCAAUGGCAACCACUCACCCUCACACCAGGGGUUAAGCAAAGGCACAAUCAUUCCCAGCAAACUACCUAAAAAGAAAGGGUUGCUGAUACAAAUCUGAGGUGCAACAAGAGUUGCAUCUGGGUUAAGAAAUAUUGGAUGGUUGUAAACAAGAGUUUAACUUGUCCUACCUCUUGGAGCACCCCCUACACAGUGCCCCAUAAUUUGCAAUUGUAUUUGGUAAAAGCUUAUCUUCCACAGUCUGAAUGUAAUAGAGAUUUGUUUUUCCAUCAUGUUCACUAUUAUGGGAUCAGACAGUAGCCAUCACCCGCUGUAAUUAUGAUGUGAAAUGAGGAAUGUGUUAAGAUAUACUGCUUACUGUGUAAAUUCAGCUUGGAAAUAUAUGUCUUACAGGAAUAAAUUUGCUUUUUUAAUUUAAUAAGUAUAGCAUACAGCUUUGGGAUUGAGGAAAAUCAACACAGCAGGAAAUCCCCAUGUUGACACAUUCAGGUUGGUGCCACUGUUCUGACCUAAUCAGGAAAGGAAAUGACUUACAACAGACCUACAAGCAGGGGUCAGCAGCCUCUGUGAAGCAGCAGCCAGGGGUGUUCAAGGCUUGGGCUCAGUUCUCAUGGUGGCAUUUAGUCACAUCUAUACCAUGUUCUCAGACUGCCACUUGGUGAGAUAUAAUAAAGCCAGAGAUCAAAUUAGAUUAAAAAGGCUACAGUGGAAGCCAAGAGAGACUGGUUUUUUCCUUGCUGCUAAACUGCUGAUGACAAACUGCUUUGUUCCCUCACAGGUUUCUGUUCUUCCAAAAAGAUCAUGCACUCUUAUUCAUCUUUAUAGACAAAAUCUCUUAUGUGUUGCCUUCUACAAGUGCUUUGCAUUCCACUGAUCCACCUUCUGAUUACAGCUGUCUCUUGACACAAAAGAAACUGCUGAUAAUCUCCAGGAGAACUUGUGGGGCAAAGACAAAACUGCAGGUGGGCAGCACUGCACACGUAGCUCAUUUGGGACGGUGGGUCUGAGUGGUGGGAUGCAAGUAUUUCAUUCAGCCAUAUAUGGGGUGGAGAAUAAAGACAUACACACUUCAGCAUCAUCACAGGGCACUCUGACCCAGUGCCAGUCUGUGUUAAUGGGGAAUGAGGACCUGCUGUGCCCUCUGGCGAGCCACUGCUGUGCCCCAUGGGGAUCCUCCUCCCUAGGGUGGUAGGGCAGGAUGCCAGAGCCUCAGUGAAACCACACCGGUCUUUUCCAACCUAAAUGAUUCUGUGAUUCUAUAUGGAGACCAUCACACACAAACUAAGGUGUCUGAGAGAGGAAGCAAGUCUGGCUUGGCUUGCCAUGGUCCAUGUCCUUCACAGGCUGGUCCAGAGGUACAGACAAAUUUAAGGAGUGGUAUCAGGGAAUAUGAAAACCCUCACAUUUUCCACUGUCAGAGAUCAUUAGGAUUUUACCUACAUGUCUUCUUGCAGCAAUAGAUUCUCAGAAGCAUAGUGCCUCCAUACACAGUAUCAGCCCCAAAACUGCUGAGAGCUGGGUGCCCCCUGGGCCACCCAACCCCCUCACAGCUACAUCAAAGCUGUGAGUUCUCCCCAGAACUCAUUCGUGAGUUUGCUUUAGUGUCUGCCCAGAUGAAAAGUACAGUGGCAUUAAAUUGUAUAAGCAAAUUUAUUUUUUUUUAAACAAACAAAGCCUCCAAGCCUGACAGGCAAGGGCGGGGAUGGGAUUAGGCAAACAUCCUAUACAGACGGUUCCCCUUUCUGUCUGUCAGUUUGUAAGUGCUUUCUCUUCUGGAACUAUACAGUACUAACUGAGCCGGAAACAGCUAUUUAAAAAGUGAUUAUAGUGUGACAUUUUUGUUUGACCUAACAUCAAGCCAUGUGCAGCUUAAAUGUCAGUAAAGCUAUUUACUAUAGGGACAGACAGGCCCUAGCAUGCUUAAAUCUAUCCAGCAUCUUAAAAGUGGUUGCUGUCUUCACUCCGUGCACAUGAAUGACGCCGAAGCCAAGAUGUGAAGUAUAGAGCUCCGUAAGCUGCGAUGAUUGACUAAUAUGCUGGGUGGCACAAUGCAUUCAGCAAGAGGCUCACAGGGAGGAAGGAAAAAUAAUGGAUAAUUAAAGUCAAUCUCAGGUUAGAAGGCAGAGGCCCAUGCAAGAGGUUCCCUCAGAUUAGCAGGAGCAUGCCUAUGGCUGGUGUGCUUUGUUAAGGGAUGUCAGAAGGGCUCAAAUAUUUUUUAAAAAAAUAGCAAAGCGGAGUUUUUUUGUUAGUGUAGGAGCUGUAUCGGUCGCACGAAAGGGGAGGGAGUGCUGCCCCCAGCUGUGGCCAGCGACCCUGCCCUUGGAAGAGCCCGUGAAGGGAAGGCCCUGCAGCGAGGCGCUCCGGGCCCAGGCUGCUCCCCCUGCUCCCCGCUCCCUCCGGGGCUGGCAGGGCACAAACCAGGCCGCCCAGCUGCGGCUGCCGGGCAGGGUGACAGAGGGGAAGGGAGGCUCCACAGCCCUGUCACCAGCCGUCAAAAUAAUGGCCGAGCAGUGUGUGUGUGUGUGUGGGUGCAGGAAGCUAACGCCGCUAGUUACGUGCAUCUCUGCCUGUGUGAGAAGCGACAGGAGCGGCUGCGGCUCGGGGCGGCCUGCACAAGCACGUCCAUCGUUCUACUCUUGGCUUUGCAGAUCUGUUAAACAUAUAAGUGAUGCCACCGGUUAGCUACACUGAACAGGUACCCUCUGGACAGUUAUUGCUGACUACUGAAAUGCUACCAUAAGUGCACGGUAAAGCUCACCGGGACGCUCAGUUUUGACAGAGGUAUGAGCUGUUCCUGCCUUCGAGGCUGCCUUUCCCUCCUCCCUGCUGGACCCCGUCGGAAGAGGGGAGAGGACACGCCUGCCACCUUCCCUUCCCCACUCCACAGCGCUCAUGGCCGUGGGCAGCCCAGCUUCCUUUGCUGCUUUCCUCAUUGCAGCCGCAGCCCGUGGCGUUCUUUUUGUGGUUGGUGAAGCCCGAGGAGCCAGAGCUUUGGGGACGCUGUUCCGCCCCCGCUGACACCUUUUUCCGGGCCCUGCGGCGUUCCCGGGGGCGCAGGGCGGGCACCGCCGCCCCCCGCCCUGGCGGGAG